GAAGGCCACGUAUGGCGGAUUGCAUUUAUAAUGAAAUGUCCAGAAUAGGUACAUUUAAAGAAACGAAAAGCUGAUGCGCUUCUCUCGUCGCCUCUGAAGCAGCGCUUGACACCCUCUCCAGCUCUGCCCUCCUUCCAGCCAAGCGAAGUGCUAAGGGACCUCACGAGAGUGCCUUGGGAAGAGCCUGUUGCCCUGGGACUGAAGUAGCGAGGAGAUAGAACCCAGGAGAGAUGCAAGUUUUACCAGAUUUGUCUCAAUAUGAAGAAAUGUUGUACUACAAAGAAAUCCUUCGGCUGGAGGAUGACUGAUUCAUUUUUUGAUCCAUCCAUUCAUUCAUAAAACACCGUGAGCAGCUCCU